CGGAAAACUGGGGAUAAUACCCUAUAGGCUAUGGAUGCUGGAAUGCGCUGUAGCCGAAAGGUCAGCCGCCGUAGGAUGGGUCUGCGGCCGAUUAGGUUGUUGUUGGGGUAACGGCCCAACAAGCCUGUAAUCGGUACGGGUUGUGGGAGCAAGAGCCCGGAGAUGGAUUCUGAGACACGAAUCCAGGCCCUACGGGGCGCAGCAGGCGCGAAAACUUUACAAUGCGGGAAACCGUGAUAAGGGAACUCUGAGUGCCCGUAGAAUCGGGCUGUCGAUCAGUUUAAAUAGCAGGUAAAGAAAGGGCCGGGCAAGACCGGUGACAGCCGCCGCGGUAAUA
rnacentral:rRNA from 1 species